rnacentral:lncRNA from 13 species
GUUUAGGCUACUUUGUGUGCCUGAGUGUAAGGGAGCGUGUGAGUUCAUCCUUGUCCUCACUCAACCCAGUCUAAUCUAAUACAAGGUAAUGUGAUUGGGAGAUGCACUAAAGCGUUUGACACUCACUACUAUUUACAUGAAGAUGUGUUUAGACCAGCGAUGUUCAACUUGUGGGUCACGGGAGUCUUCCUUGUCUGAGUAAAGAAAAAAAAAAGAAAAAAAGAGUCUGAACUUUAACACUUAAACCAGGUAAAACAAUUCAAAUGAAUUCCUACUUUUAAAUAAUUUAAUCUCAGAAAUGUUUUUCUGCAAUCACAAUACUUUUAAUAUAGAACUAUUAACAGCGCCAUUUUGGUUGAUUUUGUGGUCUCAAACUAGUGAGUCUAUUAACAUUCUUCAUCAAGAAUAUGGGCAAAAUUAUAUUAUUGACAGUGAAUGAGAUAGGAAUGUUGUUACCUUGUUUUCCAGAUUGUAUUUUGGCGAUUAUUUUUCCCUGAUGCGAAUAUUGGGUCGCAAAUUGAGAACCACUGGUUUAAACGACUCACAUUAGCCACCUGUCCUAUGGCUGGUGACGAUGGCACGUGUGUCCUACUGUCGGCCUACCUUUUUUUUCUUCCAGAAUUCGAUCUCUGGAACAGAUAAGUCCAAAAUCACCAGUGAUUCUCUCACAAUAUGUUCAUCAUAUCCCCCAAACCCCUCCCCAAAUUAAAUAUGGUACUGUACAAAACGUUCUUAUUUUGGGGUCUGGAUUCCCAGCCUAUAGCAGUAUCCUAACAGUCCGUGAAAACACCAAGCCUAGCCUACAGAGUGCUAAUCUUUAUCACCAAACAUGACUAAUUCAUAGGGCAGAUAUAAAAGGUCUACUGCUGCACAAUUAUUGUUUUAUCCACAGCACACCAUCAUCCAUCUAUUAUUUGUCAUCUAUUUUUUUUAAUCAUCAUCCAUCUUUUUUCAAUAUUUUUUUCUUUCUUCCAAUCAUCCAUCCAUCUGUCUGCAGGUCCGGUCGCAGCCGCUCAUUAGCCGGGGUCGCUGCAGCAGCGCGCUCCGUUCGUUCCUGAGCUCCUGCAUUCUUCCUGCACCGGAGCGGUGGGUUGCGCGUGCGCGAGACGGCGGCAGCAAGAGCGCUGCUCGUUUGACAGCGGCUCGGGAAAAGGGAGCUGGUGCUAGAACCGGAGAACGGAGCAGAGGACCACAGGCUGUGAGGCUGCAGCAGGGAACGAGUCAGAGCACUGCCCGGAGACAGGAGACAAAAACCAACUCAUCCUCUUCUAUUCCUACAGCUGCGAGAAGAGAGAAAACCCUGUCCACGUUUGCUUUAACAGGUCUGAAGUCCUUCUCAGCAGUCAGAGUGUGUGGAUGAAUCCAACUGGAGGACGAAGCCCUUUGAUUGGAUCCCCAUAGCUGACUGACUGGUGUGGUGGAUACCCUGCUUGACCCCCACAUAGUCCUGAUUGUGGAGAGCUCUGACCAGGGGGGAAGAUUUUUAACGUGACACGCCGGACCAUGGACAGGAAGAGGAAAUGGAUGCUGAGCAGCGGUGCUUUGCUGGUGAUAUUCCUUGGUCGCAUGACCACAGCCUUAGAAGUUCCUCUUGACCGUAAGUACAGUAGGAUAUGGUGACUGUAGAUCACAGUAUUGAAUGGGUACUGUAUUAUUUAGUUACUGGAGUUAUAUGUUUUCAGAUUUCAUGACAUUACAGGUUACAAGUUAGUAUAUAGAGGGUUUGAAAGCAUCUAGUCAAUGAACCAUAGAUACAGUAGCUUCCUUCCAGUGACUUGCAUCUCAACAACACUGCAUGGUAACAUGAUGUGCAUGUUGGGACAGAUCUCACAUGAUGAUUUAGUUCAACCCCAAUGGAGAGGAAUCUUCUAGUAUUGUCUUGCCACGUUGUUUGCAUCCCAAAUGGCACCCUAUUCCCUUUAUAGUAAACUACUUCUGACCAGAGCCCUAUGCACCCUGGUCAAAAGUAGUGCACUACAGUGUAUAGGGAAUAGGCUGUCAUUUGGGACUCAGCCAUUACCCACAUUAUCUUUAUCUGCCUGUUGACUAAUACUUAGCUUUCCUCACCUUCCUCAACGUUUUUAUGGCCGUUCAUGGGGGACAAAAAGCUAAGGUUCUGGAAGGAUGUAAGUGAUGGGUCCAGGACUCACUGCUGUGAGAUGUGCUGUGGAGUGAUGGAGCGUGGAGAUCUUACUGUUGUGUGGAUUGGAGUGACGUCGCUUAAAUUUGCAUGUAGCUAUUUUGGCCCCUGUGUUUACAAACAAGCUGUUUAUUGAGGUUUGUGAUUUCUUGUUUGUUAUUGACGUUUGUACUAUUUCAUUGAAUGGGAAUACAAUGAUGGUCUAUAGGAAUAAUAAGAUGAAGUGAUGAUGUACAUGUAGCAUGUUGUCUAGCUGUCUAGUGGUCCACUAGACAAUGUGUUGUGGUUGAGCAAUACAGGAAGUGUCUGCUGCAUCUUAUCCUGCUGAGUGCAUGCUCUUUACUUUUCCUUCCAUUUGAUCUAAUGCUGGCUAACGUGUUGCUGACGUGUUGCUGACGUUUUGCUAACGUGUUGCUGACGUUUUGCUAACGUGUUGCUGACGUGUUGCUAACGUGUUGCUAACGUGUUGCUGACGUGUUGCUAACGUGUUGCUAACGUGUUGCUGACGUGUUGCUAAUGUGUUCCUAACGUGUUGCUAAAGUGUUGCUGACGUGUUGCUAACGUGUUGCUGACAUUUUGCUAACGUGUUGCUCACGUGUUGCUGACAUUUUGCUAACGUGUUGCUAACGUGUUGCUGACGUGUUGCGUCUGCUUCUCUCUCUGAGUGAGUGUGUGUGUGCAAAUGUGUGGGUGUGUUUGUGAGUGUGUGUUUCUCUCUCUCACUGGGUGUGUGUGUGUCUCCCUCUCUCACUGGGUGCAUGUGUGUGUGUGUGUGUGUGUGUGUGUGUAUCUCUCUCUCACUGGGUGUGUGUGUGUGUGUGUGUCUCUC